AUAUGUGUAUAUAUACGUAUGUAUGUAUACAUAUGUGUAUAUAUAGUAUGUAUGUAUACAUGUAUGUGUAUAUAUACGUAUGUAUGUAUACAUAUAUGUGUAUACAUAUAUAUGUGUGUAUAUAUAUACACAUAUAUACGUAUAUAUGUGUAUAUAUAUACACAGUUGAAUCAGUGGGAUUAAUACCUAUAAUCUCUGGUUUUCAAAGGUAAUAUAGAAUAUUUGACACUUGGUAAAAGGUGAACUACCUUUGUAGUGAAUCUUUUCCUCUUGGUAGCAUCAACACUGGGGAUAAAUCAGAACCAUUCUGUGGAAUGAAAUGUUUCUCAAGAGCCUAUAAUAUAGUAGAUAGUGCAUAUUAAGAUGUCUGGCUGGGCAUGGUGGCUCAUGCCUGUAAUCCCAGCACUUUGGGAGGCUGAGGCGGGAGGAUCACUUGAGCCUAGAAGUUGGAGACUAACCUGGCGAGACCCUGUCUCAAAAAAAAAAAAAAAUCAAUUUAGCUAGCAGGAAUUUGACAUUUAAAGAGGGAAUCUUCUCUACCUCUACAAAAUCAACCCUUAACACUUUUUUCACCUUCAGAAUUAUUUAGAAUGUGGAUUUACUUUGUCUAGUUUUUUCCUUUAUAGUGUAAUUUAUUGUUACUCUCUAUUUACUGACUACCAGAGAUAUACAAAAUACUGUGCAAAAGAUUGUUACUGUUCAAAGAGCUUACAAACUAAAUUUAAAAGAAUAGCAAGUCUGAAAAAUAGAAGAUAGUCAAAUAUUUGUUUAUGCUAAGAACUGUUUUUAAUUUUCAGCUUUGAUGUAAAUUGCUAGCUUAGUUGUCUUUAGUUCAAGCAUGUUAGGAAAUCCUCUUUAUUCUUAAAUAUAGAUACAUGUCUGCAUAUAUGAUUGAAUUUUAGAGCCAGAAAGCAUGUAGAGCAGUUGUGAUUAGUAGAAAAUACACUGACAAGAAGAUAUUUGCAUUUAUUUCCCAAAGCUGCCAGUAACUAGAUUUUGUGACUUAAGUCAUUUAACCUCUCCUUGAUUAGAGCUUCCUGAGCCAUGCACACUGGCACUGCAAAUCACAGACAGGCCUAGAUACAGAUCCCCUCACCCCUUGCUACAUCCAAAGGUGGCCUGGGUGGCUGGAGCCUCUGGGCCAGAACCACCUUUGUCCAUUUUCCUCAGUGUGCCUACAGCAUCGCUUUCCAUGUGUGCCAUAACUUGGGAAUAGUUGGGAUGUGUUGCUUAACUCCUUUACACCAUUAGUUAUCUGUGAGACCAUCUAUUCCACACUCUUCAUUUUUUAAAAAGAGACAAUAAUUAUUUUUAACUCACUGAAGUUUAAAACUACCUAGCAUUUCUGAUUAAAAAAAAUUUAGAAGGAAAAUUUUAAUGCAUUUAUUUCAGAUGGCGUUUUAAAUAGAUACAACCCUUUGGAAACACAAUAUGGUACUACAUAGCAAGGGCUGUAAAAAUGACCAUAUCCUUUGCCCCAUAAAUUCUACUUCUAUACUUUUAACCUUAAAAAUAAUUCAGAAAAAAGAUAAAUGCAUGAAGACAUUUAUGUCUGCAUUCUUUAUAAUAACAAAAAUUGGGGAAAAAAACUCCAUGUCAAGAAAGUGGGAUAAGAAAAAUAGUGAAGUAUUAUACUGCCAUUAAAAUAAUUAUUUGGAAGACUGUAGAAACGUGGACAUGUUUGAUAUGGUAAGUAAAAUGAGCACAAUACAAAAUAGUAUGCAUACUAUGAUUGUGACUUUGUAAAAUCUUUAUGCAUGUGGAAGGUAAUCUGCAAAACAAAUUCAUUGUGUUAGUGUAGCGGGAUAUGGAAUGACUUUAUUUAUUUAAAUCUUUUCUUUAAUAUUACUUUGUAUUUUCAAU
rnacentral:lncRNA from 10 species